UACGGGGGGGGCAAGCGUUGUUCGGAAUUACUGGGCGUAAAGGGCUCGUAGGCGGCCAACUAAGUCAGACGUGAAAUCCCUCGGCUUAACCGGGGAACUGCAUCUGAUACUGGAUGGCUUGAGUUCGGGAGAGGGAUGCGGAAUUCCAGGUGUAGCGGUGAAAUGCGUAGAGAUCGGCAGGAACACCCAGGGGGAAACCAGCCGACUGGGCAUCUGCUGACGCUGAUGUGCGAGAGCGUGGGGAGCGAACCGG
rnacentral:rRNA from 1 species